rnacentral:rRNA from 2 species
GGAUCCAGACUUUGAUCCUGGCUCAGGAUGAACGCUAGCUACAGGCUUAACACAUGCAAGUCGAGGGGAAACGACAUCGAAAGCUUGCUUUUGAUGGGCGUCGACCGGCGCACGGGUGAGUAACGCGUAUCCAACCUGCCCAUCACUUGGGGAUAACCUUGCGAAAGUAAGACUAAUACCCAAUGAUAUCUCUAGAAGACAUCUGAAGGAGAUUAAAGAUUUAUCGGUGAUGGAUGGGGAUGCGUCUGAUUAGCUUGUUGGCGGGGUAACGGCCCACCAAGGCGACGAUCAGUAGGGGUUCUGAGAGGAAGGUCCCCCACAUUGGAACUGAGACACGGUCCAAACUCCUACGGGAGGCAGCAGUGAGGAAUAUUGGUCAAUGGGCGAGAGCCUGAACCAGCCAAGUAGCGUGCAGGAUGACGGCCCUAUGGGUUGUAAACUGCUUUUAUAAGGGAAUAAAGUGAGUCUCGUGAGACUUUUUGCAAGUACCUUAUGAAUAAGGACCGGCUAAUUCCGUGCCAGCAGCCGCGGUAAUACGGAAGGUCCGGGCGUUAUCCGGAUUUAUUGGGUUUAAAGGGAGCGUAGGCCGGAGAUUAAGCGUGUUGUGAAAUGUAGAUGCUCAACAUCUGCACUGCAGCGCGAACUGGUUUCCUUGAGUACGCACAAAGUGGGCGGAAUUCGUGGUGUAGCGGUGAAAUGCUUAGAUAUCACGAAGAACUCCGAUUGCGAAGGCAGCUCACUGGAGCGCAACUGACGCUGAAGCUCGAAAGUGCGGGUAUCGAACAGGAUUAGAUACCCUGGUAGUCCGCACGGUAAACGAUGGAUGCCCGCUGUUGGUCUGAAUAGGUCAGCGGCCAAGCGAAAGCAUUAAGCAUCCCACCUGGGGAGUACGCCGGCAACGGUGCAACUCAAAGGAAUUGACGG